AGAUUUUUUCUGGAAAUACUGCUAAUCUGGGGAACUUCAAGUUAAGAUUCUAUAGCUACAAAUAUUUCACAAUUUAGACACAAGAUUUGGAAGAUUGAAACUGACAUGAAAGUCUUCUUCCUGAGGACUAGCACUCAUAAUGCAGUGUGUGUAUGAAGGUCAUGUCAGAGAAGGUGAAACAUGAAAGAAGCAACAUACUCUUCAACAUGAUGAAUAAUACUCACUACAAAGACAUGAGGUCAGAGGAGACUGCCAGAGUCAGUGGGAAGUCUUCAUUCUCUUCUCAGAUGCUCAUGAGACCUCAGCUGACCCUGAUCCAAGUGUGAAGAACCUUACAGCAGGUUGCAUCAUUUCUGACACGCCCACCUCUGUGAUCACCAGCAGCUAGCCAUCAAGGAGAGCAAAUCAGACAUUGCCCUUUCAGGAGGAAAGCAGUGCCAUUCAAUCAAACCUGAAGAAAAACAGUUUUACAAUUUAGAAAUAAGUGCUUUGGGUAUGCCUUCACUUACUUACAUUUUUUCCUUGUUCUCUAUGUAUCAAUUUUUCACAUGUUUGUUUUUGCUUUAAUUAAAAGAAUAAUUACAUCAUUUUCACCCUCUCCACUCACUCCAAUAAAUACCUCUAAUAUCA